AGAUUUACACAUAAAAAGACUUAAUUUGUUGCCUUUUACAGCAACACAUUGAUUCCAUUAAGUCCUCCCUUAAUCAGAAGGCAAUCCAAAAUCUCAAUGUUUGUGAUCAGUAUAAUAAUUUCCUAUAAACCUAGGUUUGAUGUUUGUUGCACAGCUUGUCCGGGCAAAUCUAUCAUAAUGGUAACUAUUAAAUCAUCAUUCAUUCAGUUGGUCAUUAUAAAUUAGGAUUCACUUGUAAUUUUGAAUAGUAAUAAAUCAACAAUGUAAUCUAGCAGGAAACUAGGAGUGAACUAAAUUUACACUGGGCGGAGAAAGUGAAAACGAUAAAAGAGUGUGGAAGAAGUCUGGAGCACACGAGGCUCGAGUGAAACACGCUGAAAUUAACAGCUCUCAGGGGUCUGGGAGGCUUCACCCCGUGCUGCACUCUUACUCUGAUCCUCCUGCUGUUCCUGCUCCUUCUCCUGCUCCAGCUUCUCAGAUCAGCGGCGUUCACAAAAUCAAGGACAAUGCGUGUGGGUGUCUUGCUGCAUGACUCAAUUUCCCCUUAAAAGGCAACUGAGGACUUGUCUGGAAAUUUGCUGAUGUGAAAGGUGCCACUGAAAGACAAAGAAGUUGCAUUCUUGAAAAUCUGCACAUGUCCAGGGACUGGAGUAUAUCAAAGUGUAUAAGAGGAAGUGGAAUGAGCCAAGACAUCCUCAUAAAGUGAUGUCCCAUAGUUGAAAGUUAAACCGUUUGGUAUCACGUCAACCAAUGCUGUAGAGGGUGGUUCUGUAGAGGUAAACAACCAGGGAGAACGUGGAAAAAAAUUAAACGUCAGGAUGACAAACCCUUCCUCAGAGGUGAAGAAGUCCCUGAAAGGGUCAUGGGGAGUGAUGAUAGGAGUUGUUAUCCUGUGGGCCAGAGUGUGUCCCAUUAUUCAAGGACGCCAGUUAGAGAUUCCUCUGCUGACAAAUGCUACAGAGCUAAACCAGUUCGAAACCGACACUCAGUUGACUGAAUGUGCAUUAGCAGUGAGCGCAUUAGCUGCUUCACAAGGUAAACUGCCAUUGGAAAAGACAAUUCUCAUGACGUACACAAGACUCUCUGGACACGACAACAUAACAGUCAAAGUGCCAAACUGGCCUGUUAUCAAAGCUUCACCAAAGUCCACACGAUGCAGUGGCACAUGGCAUGGAAUGAUAAAGGUUCAGUGUUCAUUGAAUGGCUGCCUAAAUGUUGAUUCCAAGAUAUUUAUGGUCAAAGAGACAGCACAACGUAUGAUUGCAGUGUGGUCAGCAGGGGUAAAAAGACGGAAGAAACGGAGUAAAUUAGGCUAUUGAGAAAAUUAACGCAUUAAAUGAAGAAAUGUUGAGAAAUUCGGGGCAGUCUUGGUCUUGGUUUAACUCGUCAGGGCCUGCAUCUGGGACAGAUAUUUUCAUAAGAACAGCACUGAUCAUAGGGAUAAUAGUGGUAUGUCAGAUAUUUCUAUCCUGUUGUGUAGUCCCUAUAGUUCAAUGCAUUGUUAAGAAAAACAUGUCUGUCACUGUGCUAGGUCAGUAUCCUAUGAGCCCUGUAGUUAAUGUGGAAAGUUAAUGUGGAAAGUCAAACUGAUGAUGAUUGGUGUACUGGACAAUGACAAGAAUCGACAAUGCUAAGAUGGCAUUGGACAUAACCCCAGUGAGACUCAUACGUUGGUCAGAUACUUAAAGUUGGUGCCACACUAGAAACUGACUGAGGUCACACAAGGUUGCAAUGUGCGAAGAAACCCCAAAUAGCCAUGAGACAAAUGAUUCAUGUGUGUAUGUAUGGAAAAACAGUUGGACAACAAAGAAUCCAGUCACACUCUCAAUGAGAUGAUGGCCUGUAUCACUGUGCAUCGUAUGUGCUAGUAACCUCUCCACAGUGAUGACCUCUACGAUGUGAAUAGCAUCUGGGUUGAAGAAGAGUGGACACCCAGAAGACCUAGUAUGCAUCAAAGCCAGUGAAAAGUGUAUGUGUUCAAACAUUUGCGCUGUGUGUGGUCCUGCAAUUUCUCACUUUCAUUUCCAUUACUUUCUGUAAUUUUAGGCUUGCUCAUUCAUACUUAACAAAAAAUACAUAAAACACACAGCAACUGGCAGUAUUUGAGUUACAAAUAAUGAUGUGUAUUGGAUGAGAUGUGUGUACUUUUUAUACUCUACGGUACAACCCAUUUCAUUGUUACUUCUUGAUGUAAUUGUGUUUUCCAUCAGGUACUUGUUAAUCUGAAUUCAUACAUUUAUUGUUAAAUAUGGACAUGUUUGUGUGAGGUCUGGAACAUAGAAUAGGAUUUACUCUGUAGGAGAACAUCUUAUUCUCCCCUGACCCAACAGGAGGGGUCACUUUGCAACACAGUCCAUAAUGGACAGGACUGGUUCUGUUUCCUUUGUAGAUUUUUGAGACCAUAAAACAAAGCCAUAAAUAAGCUUUUAAGCACAUUCCCAAACAGGCACCAUAGAUAAAACGGAACAGACUUCCUGACGUAAGACCACCUGUGGCAGAUAAAGAUCGUAAAUAAUUCAGAACUUCAGGAUCUCUCUCUGACUAGAACUAUAAACUACAAAAUGUACACUUACACCAAAAUUACAAUGUUUAUUCUACACCCAGCUCAUGACCUGUGUCAAUUUACAGUUUUGACUGUCUUUCUAGAUCCUAAAAUGAAGUCAGCACUUCAGUAUUUUAAUCAUAAGUUUCUAUCAUGGAACCAUCCAGAGGCUAGUUAAGGAAAUGUCUUUGGAAUGUAAUUUUAACAAGUAAUACUGUUAUAGCAUUUUAGUAUGUCUAUAUUCUACAAAUCAAGACUGGUGAUAUUAGUUAGUGUCGCUUACUAUUAUUAUUUAAUUAUAUGAAAUCAUAGAAAUGAAUGAAUGUUUCUGAUAUGCAUUUUCAUGCUGACAUGAUGUUUCAUUGAUUGAGUGUUUCAUGUCUCUCUCAUCUUAAUUUUGAGUUUAACAUUGUGAGAAGUGCAGCCAUUAUUUAAUGCACUUGAAAUGAAAGCACUGAUAUGUAAAUCAUUGUAGGGCUCGAAGACCAGUUUGAUAACAAAAGGACACACCGUGGAGGGAUGGGAAUUGUUCUUUCUCCGUCUCAGUUGUUUUUCAGUCUUCUCCUUGUCUCUGUUCCAUCUAGUUCAUCUUUUUGUCUUUGUGAUACUUUUUACUUUUAAUACAAAGUUUUUGUUGCCUGCCUAUUGGCAUGUUUAAGUUUUAUUUUUGAAUUACUCUUGCCACAACCUUAAUGCACAACCUUUUCAUAAUACAAGCUGAACUUUAUUUUAACUGCCAAGACAGUCACGUGUUGAUAAUAUUUUUGUAGAUAUUUUCGACUGGCCAUCGGAAGCAUUAUUCAAUUUCAAAUCUGACAAUCACUCUCUACCACACAGCACCAGUCUCUGCUACAUGGCAACUUCAUAAGUGCCACUUUGUCCACCAUGUCUGCGUAACACAGAGGGUGACUCCAGUUGUAACCCUCGCCUCGGUACCACUGGUUCCCCCGACAAUACUGCUGUGGAAGAUCGAGCUCACCAGGACAGCGUUUGGUCAUCCGGUCCAGUCAUUCGGAGCAGCCUCCAAGGAGUUUCCAUAAGUAGACUAUCACCUUCAUAUCUGAUCAGAGCUGAUGUGCAUAUGAUAAGACUAAACAACCCUUAAACAAAUCGAAAUAUUCAAUUUAAGAAAUUAGGUUCCGCGGUCCUCAUUUUUGUUGACACUUCUCACUUUUGUUAAACUCACUUAUCUUGGUAUUCUCAUCAUUUUCCAUUACUACAACUGUUAUAUUAUUCAUCAUAUUGUUUGUUAUUCACUAUUCACCAUUUUGUAAAUAAACCACAUAUUUCACUUAA